GGGCCUGUAGCUUAGCCAGGUAGAGCGUCCGGCUUUUAACCGGAUGGCCAAGGGUUCGAAUCCCUUCAGGCCCGC
rnacentral:tRNA from 1 species